rnacentral:rRNA from 1 species
CCUACGGGAGGCAGCAGUGGGGGAUAUUGCACAAUGGGGGAAACCCUGAUGCAGCGACGCCGCGUGUGGGAAGACGGUCUUCUGGAUUGUAAACCACUGUCCCCAGGGACGAAAAUGACGGUACCUGGGGAGGAAGCUCCGGCUAACGACGUGCCAGCAGCCGCGGAAAUACGUAGGGAGCAAGCGUUGUCCGGAAUUACUGGGUGUAAAGGGAGCGUAGGCGGGGAUGCAAGUUGGGGGUCAAAACUACCGGCUCAACCGAGCGUCGCAGUUAAAACUGCAGUUGUUGAGUGAAGGAGAGGCAGGCGGAAUUCCUGGUGUAGCGGUGAAAUGCGUAGAUAUUAGGAGGAACACCAGUGGCGAAGGCGGCCUGCUGGGCUUUUACUGACGCUGAGGCUCGAAAGUGUGGGGAGCAAACAGGAUUAGAUACCCGAGUAGUC